GCCGUCGUCGUCGUAGGCGGGGGGUAGGGGGGAGAGUGUGUUGGGAGCUUUCGGGAGUAGGAGCUUAGCACCCGGGAGUAUUGUGGAAGGGGAGGCCUGAUGUUGUGAAGGUUCGGGCAGGAGAGUACUUGAAUUUAAAGACACCUGAGAGAGAUCCUCGGGUUUACGGGUAUUGGGGAAGAGAGGAUUUCGGAUUUAUGGUUUACAGAUUGAAGCCCUAGGGCCCGGGAGUGGAGCCAGGGUGCGUCCCUGUAUUCUCUUUCGCUGCCCACCUACAGCAGCUUGAUUUACAGCACCACAGAUUAACCUAUACCUCGACUCCUUUAAUUGGGACUCAAGAUGCCAAAGCUGCAAAGAACUGGGUUGCAAUUGGCUAGUUCCUCCCUCAGGUUGGAGAUACAACUGGCUGAGGCUCUCUGGGCCUCGAGAAGCAUUCCCUCACGGGAUUGGUCGCGGCUGCCAAGGACCCGCCUCCUUCGCGCACAGGGUUGAGUAAGGGAUUGUGGGCCCAGAGACCCAGUGCUUUGGCGAACAUGGCGGCGGACCUCGGUCAGAUUCCUGAUGUGGACAUUGAUUCAGAUGGUAUCUUCAAGUACGUGCUGAUUCGAGUCCACUUAGCAGAGCCUUCCGGGGAUCCGGCGAGGGAGUGCAAGGAAAUCGUGCGUGGCUACAAAUGGGCUGAAUACCACGGUGAGGGCGGGGCCUCUGCCCGGUUGGGGGCGGGGCCUGA
rnacentral:lncRNA from 1 species